UACGUAGGGUGCGAGCGUUGUCCGGAAUUAUUGGGCGUAAAGGGCUCGUAGGCGGUUUGUCGCGUCGGGAGUGAAAACCCAGGGCUUAACCCUGGGCUGGCUUUCGAUACGGGCAGACUAGAGGUAUGCAGGGGAGAACGGAAUUCCUGGUGUAGCGGUGAAAUGCGCAGAUAUCAGGAGGAACACCGGUGGCGAAGGCGGUUCUCUGGGCAUGAUCUGACGCUGAGGAGCGAAAGUGUGGGGAGCGAACAGG
rnacentral:rRNA from 1 species